ACUCAAAUGAAUUGACGGGGGCCCGCACAAGCAGUGGAGCAUGUGGUUUAAUUCGAUGCAACGCGAAGAACCUUACCUGGGCUCGAAAUGUAGAGGACGAUAUCAGAGAUGAUAUUUCCCGAAAGGGUCUUUACAUAGGUGCUGCAUGGCUGUCGUCAGCUCGUGCCGUGAGGUGUUUGGUUAAGUCCAGCAACGAGCGCAACCCUUAUCGUUAGUUGCCAACGCGUGAAGGCGGGAACUCUAACGAGACUGCCUGGGUUAACCAGGAGGAAGGUGAGGAUGACGUCAAGUCCGCAUGGCCUUUAUGUCCAGGGCUACACACGUGCUACAAUGGUCGGUACAGAAGGCGGCGAAACCGCAAGGCGGAGCAAAUCCUUUAAAACCGAUCUCAGUUCAGAUUGUAGACUGCAACUCGUCUACAUGAAGUUGGAAUUGCUAGUAAUGGCGUGUCAGCAACAACGCCGUGAAUACGUUCCCGGGCCUUGCACACACCGCCCGU
rnacentral:rRNA from 1 species